rnacentral:rRNA from 1 species
GCGAACGCUGGCGGCAGGCUUAACACAUGCAAGUCGAGCGGGCGUAGCAAUACGUCAGCGGCAGACGGGUGAGUAACGCGUGGGAACGUACUUUUUGGUUCGGAACAACACAGGGAAACUUGUGCUAAUACCGGAUAAGCCCUUACGGGGAAAGAUUUAUCGCCGAAAGAUCGGCCCGCGUCUGAUUAGCUAGUUGGUGAGGUAACGGCUCACCAAGGCGACGAUCAGUAGCUGGUCUGAGAGGAUGAUCAGCCACAUUGGGACUGAGACACGGCCCAAACUCCUACGGGAGGCAGCAGUGGGGAAUAUUGGACAAUGGGCGAAAGCCUGAUCCAGCCAUGCCGCGUGAGUGAUGAAGGUCUUAGGAUUGUAAAGCUCUUUCACCGGAGAAGAUAAUGACGGUAUCCGGAGAAGAAGCCCCGGCUAACUUCGU